ensembl:lncRNA
CCACCCCCCCCGGCUAUUCGUGUCAGGACAGCCAAGUGUUUAAUCGUGGCCAUUGAGAACAAGUGACAGCUUUAAGAGGAAAACAAGCCAGCAGAGCCAAUGUCAACAAAUCCACCGGCCUUGGCUGCAGCCAUUCCUGUACUAAAGUCUUCCUGUGCUAUUGUUCACCAUUUCCAUCCAGAAAAACACCGCUCCUGACAUUACAUUACAGAGAGAAGAAACAGGAGUGUGAUCAAUAAAGUGAAUGAAACUGAGAGAUCUCUAAGGGUGUAUGUCUGAGUGAGUGUGUGUGUGUGUGUGUGUGUGUGUGUGUAGUGUCUUUUCGCCUGCAGUUAUAUAACCAGACCGCCACCGCAACAUCCUAAAAAGGAUACAAGAUUGACAGGAGGAGGAGGAAGAGGGGAAAACACUUGAAGCUGAAAGCAAUUAAAAUAAAUAAAUAAAUAAUAAUAAUAAUAAUAAUAAUAAUAAUAAUAAUACACAGCAUGUAGGUGUAUACCAGUAUGCAGCUACCCUAUGUACAUGUGCAUCUUAUCUUUAUUUAUGGGUGCGGCUGAAUGUGACGGAUUUGCGGCCUGCCUUGUAACACCAACCAGCGCCACCAAAACAAGACAGAUAAACAAACAAACAAACAAACGAACGAACGGAAGACACAGGCUGGGCGAUGCGUAAUGAGAGACAUGCGGGAGCGCGCGCGCGCGCGCACGAUCGAGCGGCUGGUCUAAUUCGUGAGAUCGUGACGCGUUAAUAAAAACAAAAUGGUGGAGCCGCUGCUGUAGGGGCAAACUAAACAGCCUGCACAGCCGGGCGAAAUUAGAAAGAGGUGCAAUUUAUUGCGGCCUCGUCAUAUGUGCAUCAGUGCGAGCGAUGCACGCACGCACGCGCGCGCGCGCGCAUCCCGACUUAUGCACAGACGAGCGGAAACCGGGCCUUUAGAUCAUCAUGGUCAUCCUUCCUUCCAUCCAUCCAUCCAUGCACACGCUAUCGCUAUACACACAUCCUUAAUAAAUUACACCGGGAUAAAUGCACCGCGCGUUAUUGAUGUUACCUCUCAUACAGGCACGAGGGGGUGGGGGUAUCGGGGGAGGGGGACACGGCAAGCACGCGCACCAACACCGACUCCGACACAGGUCCCUCCCUUCUUCUUCUUCUUCUUCUUCUUCUUCUUCAGUACCGGGCUCCACUAUAAACCCUCUCCUUUUAUUCCACGGCGUAAUGCGUUGUUUUUUCUCUUUUAAAGAAAUCCACCGACUGGUCACGAGCAAAACGGAAGCAAGGAAGACACCCGUGAUGUCGCCAUCGUCGCUCGCGCUCAGCAGCGGAUGAACCGAAUGACCCUGAACGGGAACGGAGAGCUACGCAGACGAGACACCAGUGGUAGAGAUGAUGGAGAUGAGGCGGGAGGAAGUAUCAGUUGUGGCAGAGGACAGACACGCAGAGAGUCCGAUUUCUCGUCUCGGGUAACCGGAGCGGGUCUAAACCGCUGGUCUGUUCUAUCUUACUGAUGACCACAAAGGCACAAUAGAGGCAAGAGGCACUACUAAAACAAUCCAGAGUGGUUCUGAAUCUUCUACAGGAUGGCAGGAUCAGGAGUGGCACUGCGACUUCAUGAGUUUAAGGAAAGAAAUGUGAUCGGUCAGCAACAUGGAUCAGUUUUGCGGCCAGGCAGAGACGUGAAGGGACUGUAUCCUGGACAGCUAGCCAGAGCUCACAUCAUUCCCUCACCACCAUGGCAGAGGAUGAACCUGAUGAGCGUAAAGUGUCCACCAGAGGAAGAGCAAACAUACCAGCGGAGCUUCGACCUUAUCACGCUACAGGCCCUGGAGAUGAGAGCAACACACACACCUCAUAAUACACACCGGACAUCUCACACUGUGUACCAGCAGCAGUUCGGACGCCAGGCUCACCUUUACCCUCCUGAUGACACCAAGAUGACCCUGAUUUCCCAUCCUGCUCCUCUGCAACAGAGCUAUCAUUUCACACCUCUCUAACAACUUAAGUAGUAAAAUGUACUCCCUGACCACUUUAUUAAGAACGCCUAGUCAUAAAUGCAAACAACUUGUGGUGAUGUCGGUGACUUCAGAUUGUAGUUUUGAAGACAUUCUGGCCCCAAUAACUGUCCUUUUCACACUGUGUUGAGUCAAUAUAGUAAUCGGUAUCGUCUGAGAAAUUUAGUAUCGGUGCAUCUCUAAUAUUUACUUCAUGCUGCCUCUGUGUUUAAGUCUCCACUCAUUUUUUUCUACAAAAUGUAACACGAACUUGUAUUUCCAUAGAAAACAAACAGCAGUGACGAAGGAAAAAAAAACCCUGUGUUAUCUCCUG